rnacentral:rRNA from 1 species
UACGGGGGGGGCAAGCGUUGUUCGGAAUUACUGGGCGUAAAGGGCGCGUAGGUGGCCAACUAAGUCGGACGUGAAAUCCCUCGGCUUAACCGGGGAACUGCGUCCGAUACUGGUUGGCUUGAGUUUGGGAGAGGGAUGCGGAAUUCCAGGUGUAGCGGUGAAAUGCGUAGAUAUCUGGAGGAACACCGGUGGCGAAGGCGGCAUCCUGGACCAAUACUGACGCUGAGGAGCGAAAGCCAGGGGAGCAAACGGG